rnacentral:rRNA from 1 species
CGGCCGCGUCGACGACGAACGCUGGCGGCGUGCCUAAUACAUGCAAGUAGAACGCUGAAGAGAGGAGCUUGCUCUUCUUGGAUGAGUUGCGAACGGGUGAGUAACGCGUAGGUAACCUGCCUUGUAGCGGGGGAUAACUAUUGGAAACGAUAGCUAAUACCGCAUAACAAUGGAUGACACAUGUCAUUUAUUUGAAAGGGGCAAUUGCUCCACUACAAGAUGGACCUGCGUUGUAUUAGCUAGUAGGUGAGGUAAUGGCUCACCUAGGCGACGAUACAUAGCCGACCUGAGAGGGUGAUCGGCCACACUGGGACUGAGACACGGCCCAGACUCCUACGGGAGGCAGCAGAGGAAGUACGUCGGUCGAACUAGGGGCGAACCGUCGACCGACGCGAACGCCGCGUCGAGUGAGAAGGUACGUUACUACUCACGCGGCGUGGCGUGCGUCACGGCGUUCGUCCACUUGCGUCAAACUUCCAACCUCGCUCGCCGUCCGUACGUAGUCGUGGCCGUCGUCUCACGUCCACGUGUCGG